GACGAACCGUCCAAACGUUAUUCGGAAUCACUGGGCUUAAAGGGUGCGUAGGCGGCCUGGCAAGUCGGGUGUGAAAGCCCUCGGCUCAACCGAGGAAUUGCGCCCGAAACUGCCGGGCUCGAGGAAGGUAGAGGUGAGCGGAACUUAGGGUGGAGCGGUGAAAUGCGUUGAUAUCCUAAGGAACACCAGUAGCGAAAGCGGCUCACUGGGCCUUUUCUGACGCUGAGGCACGAAAGCUAGGGGAGCGAACGGG
rnacentral:rRNA from 3 species